UCAGUCGGCCGGACGGCCGCUCCGGCAAGGAUCGAAAGGUCGCCGGGGAGGAAAGUCCGGGCUCCAUCGACAUACGGUGCCGGAUAACACCCGGCGGGGGCGACCCCAGGGAAAGUGCCACAGAGAACGAACCGCUCGCCGAAACCCGCAAGGGUGAAGGCGAGUAAGGGUGAAAAGGUGCGGUAAGAGCGCACCGCGUUUCCAGCAAUGGAGACGGCAUGGCAAACCCCACCGGGAGCAAAACCGAAUAGGGACGGCAUGGCGGACAGUUCGCUUUCGAGCGAUAACUCCGCGGGGCGAUGUCAGGCCCGCCGUCCGGGUAGGUUGCUUGAGGCGCAACGCAAGUUGCGUCCCAGAGGAAUGGCCGUCACGUCUGCGUGGUGAAAACCAUUCAGGCCCUACAGAACCCGGCUUACAGGCCGGCUGAUCGA
rnacentral:RNase_P_RNA from 2 species